GUUUCAUAAUUAUUGCAUUUUACAGGUGAAGGAAAACUAUACACAUGGGGAUCUAAUGAGAAUGGCUGCCUUGGUCUUGGUGGCACAGAUGUGGUCAAAACUCCAGAAAGUGUUGAAAGUUCUUUUCUAAAGUUUCCUAUAACUGAGGUAUCUUGUGGUUGGAAGCACACAGCUGUGAUUUCUGGUGGCAAUGUCUUCACAUGGGGGUGGGGAGGUGCUAGUGGAACAUUUUUUGAAGAUGGUCAUUCCUCUGGAGGACAACUAGUAAGUUUCUAUUAAAUUAU